UGAUUCUGAGCGAGCCAGGGGCCUGUCUCCCUGAUGUGCCCCCAGCAGAUGCCGAAGGUUUACUAUGACACACUUUGGAAGGUUUUCCCCUGAAAAAUAUCCAGUUAAAAUGAUCUCUUGGCACCUAAAGGAUUAGCCUCCAUUUAUCAAGAAAAUGGAGCUGUCUGGUUGGAAUUUAUUGCUGCAGUAUUCUGAGAUUCUGCUAAAUCAUUGUAGUCCCUGGAGAUGGACGAAAGCCUUGCUGAAGGCAUGCAGAAGGCAUCUAGGAGACCUGCUACCCCUGUUAACGGAGGGGAAAACGUCUCCAGGCAGUCACUUCCAUUCUUCCCCUUUCAAGAUCCAGCUCAAAUGUCACCUUUGUGAAGAUUUCCUCAUCUGGACAUCAAUACUUCUCUCUCUGGAUUCCAGCCAAAUGGUCUCUUAUGGCAUUUGUGCUGCAUGGCACAUAUUUAUUUGUUUAUCUGCCUCUCCCACAAGAUCUGCAGCUUCCUGAAGAAAUGCAGGCCUGGAAGCGACCUCAAGAAGCUAUCUCUGGCAUCCCCCUCCUCCAGGCAGGCCAACGGGCGACCAGCUGAGACCAACUGGUGUUUAUUCUGUUUAUCUUGGAGGUUUUGGAGGAAGAAGGCUGUAAACUCUUUCUUACUGUGCUCGAGGACUCUCCACUGAGCUCUGAAUCCUUUGGCUGGGUGGAGAGGUCUUAGAUGGGGCUGAGUCCAGAGCACAGCUGUUUGAGGUGCUUUCUUCCCUGUAGCUCCCUUGUUAAACUCUUGUCAGUCUCACCCCGUAUUUGCAGUGCAGCUACUCUCUGUCACCAUAUGCUUAACUCGGGUUGCACUGUCAUCUGCACAGGUCCCUUUGUGCACACCUCUGAUAGGACCAGCUCUCAUCAUGACCAGGGGUAUUCAUUUUUCUUCCCCUGAGGUAGGUGUGUCCUAAGGGAGAAUCAAUAGAGGUGUGAGAGGUUGG